UACGAAGGGUGCAAGCGUUAAUCGGAAUUACUGGGCGUAAAGGGUGCGUAGGCGGUUGUUUAAGUCUGUCGUGAAAUCCCCGGGCUCAACCUGGGAAUUGCGAUGGAGACUGCAAGGCUUGAAUCUGGCAGAGGGGGGUAGAAUUCCACGUGUAGCAGUGAAAUGCGUAGAGAUGUGGAGGAACACCGAUGGCGAAGGCAGCCCCCUGGGUCAAGAUUGACGCUCAUGCACGAAAGCGUGGGGAGCAAACAGG
rnacentral:rRNA from 1 species